GGUACAGAGUCAAUGUGGAGGCUAUAUACAGGGUGUACCGGUACAGAGUCAAUGUGGAGGCUAUAUACAGGGUGUAACGGUACAGAGUCAAUGUGGAGGCUAUAUACAGGGUGGUACCGGUACAGAGUCAAUGUGGAGGCUAUAUACAGGGUGUUACGGUACAGAGUCAAUGUGGAGGCUAUAUACAGGGGGUACCGGUACAGAGUCAAUGUGGAGGCUAUAUACAGGGGGUACCGGUACAGAGUCAAUGUGGAGGCUAUAUACAGGGUGUUACGGUACAGAGUCAAUGUGGAGGCUAUAUACAGGGGGUACCGGUACAGAGUCAAUGUGGAGGCUAUAUACAGGGGGUACCGGUACAGAGUCAAUGUGGAGGCUAUAUACAGGGGGUACCGGUACAGA
rnacentral:lncRNA from 1 species